UGCCCUUCAAAAUCCUCUCUCUCUCUCUUUCUCUGGUUCCUCCUCCGAAACCCUAAUUUCCCAGAAAGAUUGAUUUGAUUUGUUUAUUUCAACUUCGAAUCAUCGCUUCAUCUCUGGUUCACACUCUAUAGAAAACAAACAUUAAUUCAAGCAUGAACUCAAAAUGAAAAUUAGAAUCUGAAAUCGAAGAAGAAGAAGAAGCAUUCAGGAAGAGAGAUGUACCCAUGAAAUCCAUUUCAAGGUUACCCAGUGAAUUCAUCAUUGCUUCUAUGUAAGUCUGUUUGCAGAAAUUGAUUAUGCCCUUAUUUUCUAACCCUGAUUCUUGUUAAAAUUAUACCCCCUUAAUCUUACUAUCCAGAGAAAUUUAACCCUAUUCUCAUUCUUCAAGGUUAUUACAGUAAUCAACUUUACUCCAUAGGUUAUGAAUCAUUAGGGUGUGCAAUUGAAAAUGUUGCUUUCCAAAGAUUUGUCCUCAUUUAAAUCUUUAGAUUAUGAUGUUCUAUUGUUGGGGUUCAUGUAAUGGUCUGGUUUGGAUAUGGUUGUUUCAUAUUGCUGGUAGUGGUGAUGGGGAAUUUUCUUGUAUUUGGAACCAAAAGAAUAUAAAGAAAUACCUAAGUUACAUGUAGAGUUUGAAGGCACAAGUGCAUUUGGUUACGAUUACAAGACUGGUGAUUACAAGUCGGCAAUAGGUGCAGAAAGUUGUGGAAGAAAGGGUAGUAUUCUACUCCAGGUCUAUACGUUAGCAUCAAAUUCAUGAAAAACUGAGAUCAUCAUACCAUUUUUUUUUUAAUGGGCAAGCAUCUGGGUGCUUGUUAAAUCCAAUGUAUAUGAUUUUGUUGAAGAAUAAGGAUCCGUUGAUGGCUCAUCUGAUCUGGAGAGAACAAAGAUUGCUUAUGGGGGACUGUCAUGGAAGUAAAGUAUCUAAGAGGUAAAUCCAUAUGGGAGGUGAAGGGGAACCAAAGAAGCUCUUCUACUUGGAAAGCAAUGCGUCAUUGCAGAGAGGGCAUUAAUGAGCACUGCAUUUGGAGUCUUGGUAAUGGUGAGAGGAUACAUGUGCUAAAAGAUCCUUGAAUGAGUCAAGAACGACUUACCUCAACUCAAAGAAGAUGCAACAGGUGGAAUAUCCAACAAAGUGAGUGAUUUAAUCUUGAAAAACCCCACCCGAUGGAAUGAAUCUCUGACUACAGAUAAAUUAUUGGAGGUUUCUUGUGUGUUGUGGGCCAUAUGGAAGUUAAGGAAAAAAGUGUUUUAACAACAAAAACUAGAACAUUAAGAGUAUCAUCAAGGAAUACCCCGCUUGACUUGGAUGUGAACCAGUGUAUUUCUCCAGCUGAGAAGAAAAGGAAAAGUGGAAAGUGGUGACUUGAACUGGACGAAACUGAAUGUGGAUGCUGCUUUUGACAAUUUCCAUGGAGGCGGGGCUGUGCUGGCAAGGGACUCUAGUUCUACAUUUCAGGGCAGUGGUACCAGUAAUCAAGCUGUCCUAAGUCCUCUGGAAGCUGAAGCUAGGGCUGUCCUCCUGGCUACUGAGAUGGCUGUAUUGCUUAAAAUGUAAAAAGUUAUCAUAGAGACUGAUGCUGAGAAAGUUGCUAAGAUGUUGACCGAAGAAAAUAGACCUAUCCCGUGGAGGAUCCAGCACAUUCUAUACCAGAUUAAAGAUGGGUUGCGGAAGCUCAAGGAGGUCACAUUUGCGUUCAACCAAAGAGGUGGGAGUGUUGUUGCCGAUUAUUUGGCAAAAUAUUCCUUAGCAAACCACUCGAAUGUCUGGUGGUUCUCUUCUACCCCCGUUCCAUUAUUUCAGAGCUGUGUUUGUCUGAGAGUAGAACCUCUUAGUUACUGUGGUUUCUUCUUUGUAGCAGGGGGGAAAAAAGGAUCCGUAGAUGGAUCUGGGAGUGUUGAAAGGGUGCCUUUGCGUACUUUACAACUCAUAUGUGAAUUAUGUUAGGAUUCAUUUUGAAAUAUGGGAGAUGCUGAAUUACGGAGUUCAAGAAUCUUGGACUAGAUGCUAUAUCAUUAUUAGUCAUGAGAGCACUUUUAAGGAUUUCACUCUGAUGUGGUCUUUGGAGAAUGGCAAGAUUCUAUUCUUGACUUCUGGUAGCCUAGUUUUGUAUGACAGGGAACAUGACAGUGCUAGAGAACUAAGUAUGCAUAAAUAUUGCUUUGAGGUCAGCGUGAAUUAUUUCGAAAGCUUAGUUUCUCUCAAAGAAGGGUGGAUAGAGGAAUUAAGCCUAGUUUUGUAUGACGGGUACUUCGUUGCAGAGAAGGGUGGAUAGAGGAAUUAAGAGAAACCCGAAGAAGAAGAAGCUCUAAGUGCAAUAAAAACAGAGCUUGAGUAAGCUUUUGCCAGGGUUUAUAAAUAUAAGAUGCCCUUUACAGACCUGCAAUCUUUCUACACAGUACCUUUAUGCUUUCGGCUCAAUAUAGAAGCAGAUAUAGAAGGACCCUGAAUGUUUGCUGGAAGCAUUUGGGCUCAUCUUAUAGUAAUUAAAUUUGAGAAACUACAGUGUCUGUGGAGUUUGGAAUGCUGUUGGAGUUGUGGUUUGAUCUAUUAAUUCUGUAAGAUGCUCCAGCUUUUUGGCAUAACAAGCAUUAUAAACUGCCUACAAAAGUAACUUUUUGUGAAUUAUUAUCACUGCAUACAAGAAGCAUUAUAAACUGCGUAUUAGCUAGCUCCAACUUCCUUGGAACUUAGUUUUAGUAGCACAGGAAGCAUUAUAAACUGCCGCUUCUUCGGCAUCUCCCUGGUUGAAGAAACUCAAUUCUAACUUUCAGGUAAGGAAAUAUAUGAAGACUAGUGAGCAACUUUCUCAACUCAAAAUGAAAUGAACACUCACAAGUUGAUUCAGGUGCAGUGCACUAAACAAUAGCGUGUUGGAUUCAGAUUUUAGAACUUAACUGCAGUCUUGCCAACAAUUAUUUAUUUCUCUGAGAUUAGUGAUCUUGAUGCUUCUGAGGUUAAGCUUCAGAAAAUUUAAUAGUUUAUAAGAGUUACCCGACUGGGAGAAAGUAUGCAGUUGUGAUGGAGAAGCUUUGGUAAGAAAGUAGCCUUACUAUUUCAUAAGCAAUUAGCAUUUUAGGAUUUUCAUGUUGCAUUGCUGAUAAAAUAUGGUUUCCUCUAAAGAGUUACAGGUGGAAACGUUGGACUACUGCUCUCAAGCGGGGUCUGUAGUAAAUAGUCGCAACGUUUAAGUUACACUUUAGAGGAGCCAAGGUUCUCCUCAAUUGACUAACAGUAAAAUAGUCGCAAAGAUUUUCGGUUUGACUUGGUUUCGUUGCUGAGUUUUUGGGACCAAUUUUAUAGUAUUUGUUCAUGUAUUUCAAUUGAUAUAUUUUUUUAUAAUGUAUGCAUUCUUUUAUUUGGUAAUUAGAUGACCUAGUUAAAAUUUACUAGUAAAUUUAAAAAUGAUUUAUCUCUCAAACUGUACAACGGAUUUUUGUAA